rfam:Desulfotomaculum hydrothermale Lam5 = DSM 18033, WGS project CAOS01000000 data, contig: ABX_2590_5
GAUAAAUCUAUGAUCGGGAGAGUAGGCUUGAGAAACCUUGCCCAGGGAGGAGAAGCCCCGGACUGUAAGCUUCUCUGCAAGAACUUUAGCUGAAGAACACCCGAGAGUUACCCCCGAAAGGAUAAUGUCCCGGUAGGCCGGUACGGAACAACGCCGUUAUCGUUGACUUGAGAGGAACUAUGAAGUUCAAUCAGGGUGGCACCACGGGAAAAUCCUCCCGUCCCUGGC